rnacentral:tRNA from 1 species
GAAAAAAUGGCUGAGUGGUUAAAAGCAACAGAUUGUAAAUUUGUCGACAAAAUUGUCUACGUAGGUUCGAAUCCUACUUUUUUCA